GAUGAACGCUAGCGGGAGGCCUAACACAUGCAAGCCGAGCGGUAUUGUUUCUUCGGAAAUGAGAGAGCGGCGUACGGGUGCGUAACACGUGUGCAACCUGCCUUUAUCUGGGGGAUAGCCUUUCGAAAGGAAGAUUAAUACUCCCUAAUAUAUUGAACGGCAUCGUUUAAUAUUGAAAGCUCCGGCGGAUAGAGAUGGGCAUGCGCAAGAUUAGCUAGUUGGUGAGGUAACGGCCCACCAAGGCGAUGAUCUUUAGGGGGCCUGAGAGGGUGAUCCCCCACACUGGUACUGAGACACCGACCAGACUCCUACGGGAGGCAGCAGUGAGGAAUAUUGGUCAAUGGGUGCAAGCCUGAACCAGCCAUCCCGCGUGAAGGACGACUGCCCUAUGGGUUGUAAACUUCUUUUGUAUAGGGAUAAACCUACCCUCGUGAGGGUAGCUGAAGGUACUAUACGAAUAAGCACCGGCUAACUCCGUGCCAGCCGCCGCCGUAA
rnacentral:rRNA from 1 species